GGCGGCGCCCGGGCAGCUGUUGUGUGGCUGCGCUGGCGCUGCAGGGCGGGAUGCUGUAUCCCCGGGAGAGCCGGUCGCGGGAGCGCAAGGAGCUGGACGGCUUCUGGAGCUUCCACGAUAACUUCUCCCAGGAUCAGUGGUAGCGGCGGCUGCUGCGGUACUCAGGAGAGGGCCGGGAGGCGCACGGAAGCCCGGCGGAGGGAGUGGGGGAGCCCGGGCCACCUCGCAGGCUCCUUACCCUGGGUGCCAGGUGGUUGGGAGCCCAGAGAAGGUUAAAGUCUGGCCCCACCCUGGACAUGCAGGUUCUCUCCAGCUUCAAGAACAUCUGCUAGGACUGGCGGCUAUGGCAUUUUGUCAGCUGGGUAUGGUACAUAUAGGAAGUGACCCUGCCAGAGUGGUGGGCCCAGGACCUGUACACAAGAAUGGUGCUGAGGAUUGGCAGUGUCCACUCCUGUGCCAUUGCGGUGACUGAGAAGUGGGCCGAGGACACCUUCAGACUAAACUCCAAUGAUGAGGAAAUCCACACAGCCAGCGAGCACUGCCUGAAGGUGGUCAUGGACCUUAGGCUAUGGAUGCGGCUCCAUGCUCUCCGGCCUCCUCUGGGAGCUCAUCAGGACCAUGGUGGAUCUGACAGAGGGAAUAUGACGUCCUCUUCCCAGGGUACACCCACCUGCAUAGGGCCCAGUCUCUUCACUGGAGCCUCUGGAUUCCGAGAACUCAACUUUGGGCCCAUCACUCUUAACAGCAUGGAUGCCACCAGUGAGCAUAAUUUCGUGGCUGAGUUCCUGUUCUGGGCUUCAUUCUGUAUGACCCAUCUCAGCAGGAUGGCCAGGGACCUCAUCCUCUACGGCACCAAGGAAUUCAGCUUCGUGUAGCUCUCAAAUGCCUACAGACCUGGCCAGUGAGCUGCUGGACCAGCCAAGGGCCCAGCCCCUUCAGUGCCUGCAUCUCUGUCUGCAGCUCCAGAAGCAGCCUGAUGCCUCAGAAGAAAAACCCUGACAGCUUGGAGCUGAUCUGGAACAAGGAAUCAUGGAGCACGCAACACAUCCCGGUGCUGUUCUCAGCUUUCUGUGGCCUCUUGGUCACCCUUUCCUACCAUCUGAGCUGGCAGAGCAGUGACCCAUCUGUGUUCAUAUGAGUGAUCUAUGGCUUUGCUCUGUCAUCACUGAGCAGGGGGCAUGGUUCCCUCAGCUUUGUGCCCUGACUGAGGUGAGGAGAUGGCAAAUCACUGCCCAUUGUGAUUUGACUCUCAUUAUUAAACUACCUGGUCGUUCACCAGAGGAGGGCAGGAGAAAUACAGGACCAGCCAGAAACUAAUAACAGUUAACAGUGAACAUCUGGCAAAUAUUUUAGCUUUGCUGAUUUGAUUUUGGAGUAAAAUGAACAGUGGCAGGAACAGACAACCAAUAGCACCCAAUCCCUGUUGUGGCUUUCCGCUGGGUGAGAAGGUACCACCUCAACGGUACCCUCUCUAGAUCCAUUAAGCUGCAUGCCUGCAUUUACUCUAGGCAGUUGCCUGUGGAGACUAAACCAGCACCUCUGAAAGGAGGUGUUUUGUUGUGAUGGUGGUUCUCAAUUUAGCAAACACCCUCUGGAUUUAAAGUGAGAUUUGCACCAAAGUGUUAAAAUGUAUUUAAUGUGAUCCUUACUAAUGUGAAUGUAUACAUUACAAUCUUCCCUUUAAUCGUAUCUUUAAGUCUUUGGUAACGUGUACUCUGGCACUGGAAAUCUUUCAAGUGAUGCCAGAGUGAGUUUCAGAUACUGACAGUAGCAUCUUAUGUAAUGUUUUUAAAUUUAUGAAAGAUUUUGAUUUAAGAUAACCAUAUUUUGGAGGACCAGAGACACCAUAAUCUUAGGCUAUUAGGUGCGGCAGUAUCAAAGGCAUGAAAAAUGGAAAAAAGAAAAGUUAAAUGGUUCUCACAGUUUUUAGUGUCAAUUGUAUUACUGCAGUGUUCACUUUCUGCUGCUAAUUUUUUGUGAAGAUGAAGCCCUAGUAGGCUGGCAGAGUUGGAGGACCGUUCCCUUGUCCCACUGCUGACAGUAGAGGGUGAUGCUGCUGAUGCUGCUAAGGUACUUGACUACUCUCAUUAGGGUGAAAUUUACAAAUCAAAACCCUAUCUUUAUGAUCACUUGAACGUGCACCUCUUUUUAUUAUAAAUUUUUAAAUGAAGAGAGCACUUGCUUUUGUCAUGUGUGGGCAUGAGAUCUAAGGUGAAGUUAUUUACCAAAAGCACUGUCCCAGGAAUGUCUUUGAUAAAGUAAAACCUAUGUGUUUUUCCAGUUUCAGGUCCUUCAUCCAAUGCAGACUGUUUCCUAAAUUUUUACAUCAAAAUCUGGAAGAGUCAGCUGCUGACCCUCUCCCCAGGAAGAUGAAAGAUUUGGUGGUGAGACAUUUGCAUUGUGUCAUGUAGUAUAGGAGGACCUCAUCUUUUCAGGAGAGCUCAGGCUCUCAAUGGGGCUCUAGGCAGGUGGACAUAAGAAGGACUAGGACGGAAAGAGACACCUCAGCUUGGUACCUGGCACACUGGGCUGUUGAGCUGCCUGCCAGGUGCAGCCCUUUAGAGCAUCUUGAUGGUGGCUGUUAUGCACACCUGGCAUGGGUGCUUGGGUGUCCCUUAGUUGGCUGCAUUUUGCCAGGAUAGUCACAUGAGUCACAUUCAGUCAGUUUUGCCUAUUGCUGGCACCAAACAGCAGAUGGGCUCUGCACAAAUGAAAGCUUGUCAGAUAAAUGUUUAGCCAACCCGCCUUCCUGAUAUGGUCCACAUGCAACUCAUCUCCAUAGCUUCUCCCCUCAGCACCACACUGAGUUCAGAGCACUCUUUCAAAGUUGCUGUCUGCACAGCCAUUGCUUGGGCUUUAGACUUAGGGCUGGGUCACAGAGAAGCGAGUAACCAUACUGUGGGGAGCACGGGAGAAGAAAAGGAAGGAGGAGAGGGAGACAGAAGAGAAUCCUACAGCUAUAAAAUGAUAACACUUCCUUGUUCACCAGGAAAAUGGCUCUGGACAGCUUCAAACUUUUUUUUUUUUUUU